CUUUAUUGGAGAGUUUGAUCCUGGCUCAGGACGAACGCUGGCGGCGUGCCUAACACAUGCAAGUCGAACGGAGUAUUCAGUAAUGGAUACUUAGUGGCGAACGGGUGAGUAACGCGUAGACAACCUGCCUCUAAAUUGGGGACAACACCGCGAAAGUGGUGCUAAUACCGAAUGUGGUAUCUCGGUUGCAUGACUGAGAUAAGAAAGAUGGCCUCUACAUGUAAGCUAUCGUUUAGAGAUGGGUCUGCGUCUGAUUAGCUAGUUGGUGAGGUAAAGGCUCACCAAGGCGACGAUCAGUAGCCG
rnacentral:rRNA from 1 species